AUUGAACGCUGGCGGCAUGCUUUACACAUGCAAGUCGAACGGUAACAGGUCUUCGGAUGCUGACGAGUGGCGAACGGGUGAGUAAUGUAUCGGAACGUGCCCAGUAGUGGGGGAUAACUACUCGAAAGAGUGGCUAAUACCGCAUGAGAACUGAGGUUGAAAGCGGGGGACCUUCGGGCCUCGCGCUACUGGAGCGGCCGAUAUCAGAUUAGGUAGUUGGUGGGGUAAAGGCCUACCAAGCCGACGAUCUGUAGCUGGUCUGAGAGGACGACCAGCCACACUGGGACUGAGACACGGCCCAGACUCCUACGGGAGGCAGCAGUGGGGAAUUUUGGACAAUGGACGCAAGUCUGAUCCAGCAAUGCCGCGUGCAGGACGAAGGCCUUCGGGUUGUAAACUGCUUUUGUACAGAACGAAAGGGCUCUGGUUAAUACCUGGGGCAGAUGACGGUACUGUAAGAAUAAGCACCGGCUAACUACGUGCCAGCAGCCGCGGUAAAG
rnacentral:rRNA from 1 species